rnacentral:rRNA from 1 species
AGAGUUUGAUCAUGGCUCAGAACGAACGCUGGCGGCGUGCUUAACACAUGCAAGUCGAGUGCGCGUUCCGUAGCAAUAUGGAAUGGCGCACGGCGCACGGGUGCGUAACACGUGGGUAACCUGCCCUUUGGUGGGGAAUAACUCCGCGAAAGCGGAGCUAAUUCCGCAUAAGAUCCGCAAGGAUGAAAGCCGAAAGGCGCCGAUGGAGGGGCCCGCGCCCGAUUAGCUAGUUGGUAGGGUAAUGGCCUACCAAGGCUUUGAUCGGUAGCUGGUCUGAGAGGAUGAUCAGCCACACUGGAACUGAGACACGGUCCAGACUCCUACGGGAGGCAGCAGUGGGGAAUCUUGCACAAUGGGCGAAAGCCUGAUGCAGCGACGCCGCGUGGGGGAUGAAGCAUUUCGGUGUGUAAACCCCUUUCGAUCCGGACGAAACCCCGCAAGGGAUUGACGGUACGGAUAUAAGAAGCCCCGGCUAACUACGUGCCAGCAGCCGCGGUAAGACGUAGGGGGCCAGCGUUGUUCGGAAUUACUGGGUGUAAAGGGUUCGUAGGCGGUGCGGCAAGUUGGGAGUGAAAUCUCUGGGCUUAACCCAGAGGCUGCUUCCAAAACUGCUGUGCUUGAGUGUGGGAGAGGCGCGUGGAAUUGCAGGUGUAGCGGUGAAAUGCGUAGAUAUCUGCAGGAACACCCGUGGCGAAAGCGGCGCGCUGGACCACUACUGACGCUGAGGAACGAAAGCUAGGGGAGCAAACAGGAUUAGAUACCCUAGUAGUCC